GCUACUAGUGGGGAGGGAAGAAUUGCCUCCGCAGCUCAUCAUCCCAGAAGAAAACUGGAGACCAGUUUUGCAUUAAUUUACAUUUCCAGUAUUCUGAACAAAUUGGCGAAAAAGAAGAAAAUGCAGCUUCAGGCGUCUUCAUCAUUAAUCCCAAACGGGGACUGCUACAACAGUUAAACUCUUCUUUAUUUGGUAUCAUGACUUGGCUUCCAUCUCUGGCAGCACUUGUGGCAGUGGCUCAUGGUUUUACUUCCUAAUUUCCAACGAGGGAAGCUCUUUGGCAUGAACGUGCUAUUUCAUCCUCUUUUCAUCUGACUAAGGAACUGUUCCGACAAUGCCAAGGCCAUGGUACAGCCUGGCCUUCAUGUAUUUUCUUGGUUAAACUCGCCAUCCCCACCAAAGAGGCUCUAGGCUGAACAUCUGCACACCUCUGCAGCCCCACAUGGCACUAAACAAGGAUCCCUGGAGGAAGAGACCCCCCUCUCCAAGAAUCUAAAGGUCAGAAAUUUAAAGUAAUAGAGAAAUGUAUAGACUCAGUACCAAAGGGUGGAUUUGUUUGGGGGGGUUAUUUUUUUCUCUCUUUUACAGCACCUGCCUACCUGUUCCGCUGUGGGCAGACUUUCUUCCAGAGCAAGGGAGCGGGAGAGGAAGGAGACAUAACAGAAGGAAAGGAGCUGUUGCUACAGGCAACUCCACUCUUCCACAUGGGGCCAUUCCCGCAAGGAUUACAGCUUUGAACCACCCACAGCAUGUGCUUUAAGGCAAAGUUACUAAAAAUCCAGCAUUUUUAAAACCAAGCUGGGAGAAGAAGGAGAUAAAACAGUACCAUCUCGACUGCAACGAAGGCAGCCGUGUGAAGGAUGUACACAGAAAUCUGCAAUUCUUCCCACACACACUAUGGAAGGUGGGAUCUAAAGUUAUUUAGAAGAUCAUCACCGCCAUCACACCACGCACAGCAAUUCAGCUCAUAUUGCAAACACUAACUCAUAGCGAAGGAGGGCAGCUACUUUGAAAAUAAGAAAUCAACAGUUCAGUGCCAAAGCUGAAGCCCUCUUAAACUUCCAGAGGAGUUUCAGGCAAGACCAGUUCCAGUGAUUUCAAUUUAACCUCGUACUAUGUUCUAUUUAACACAAGUAACUGUAGGAUUUUAGUGUUCAAUACUGGUGAAGAAAGUCAGUGUUCUCAUUGCAAAGAAACAGCAUGGUCAGGCAGAUUUUAAAUGUCCAUGAAAAAGCAGUACUUUUACGUAAACGACCUUUCCUACUGCAAGCCAAACCAAGAAAGGCCAAGCGAACCGAACGGAAGAAGGCUUGAGCUAUGAUUAUAUCUGUUUCAAUAAGUUUUAUGGUUUCCAAACAGACAAGAAGAACAUGGCAGAGGACUCAAUGGCAGAUGGAAGCAUUUCAAACAAGUAGCAUUACAUUUAAAGAAAACUGGAUCCUCAUUGAAACAUUCACUCAUUUUACAUGAGCCCCUCUAUUACAAAGUGAGCAACAUCAAUACAAUUCCUGGUGUAAUUAAUGAUAGAUAUGUAAUAAUCAUAGAAUCAUGGAAUGGUUUGAGUUGGAAGAGACCUUAAAGAUCAUCUAAUUCUAACCCCUCUGCCAUGGGCAGGGACACCUCCCACUGGAUCAGGUUGCUCCAAGCCCCAUCCAGCCGGGCCUUGAACCCCCAGGGAUGGGGCAGCCACCACUGCUCUGGGCAAUCUGGGCCAGGGCCUCCCCACCCUCAUUAUGAAGAAUUUCUUCACAACGUCUAAACUAAAUCUUCCCCUUUCCAAUUUAAAGUCAUCCCCUCUAAUCCUGUCACUCCAGGCCCUUUUAAAAAGCCCUUCCCCAGCUUUCCUGGAGCCCCUUUCAGAACUGGAAACUGUUUCAAGGUCUCCUCAGAGCCUCCUCUUCUCCAGGCUGAACAAGCCCAACUCUCUCAGCCUGUCCUCAUGGCAGAGGUGCUUCAACCCUCCGAUCAUCUCUGUGGCCUCCUCUGAACCUGUUCCAACAGUUCCAUCUCCAUCUUUUGUGGGAGAUUCCAGAGCUGGAUGUGGGGCUCCAGGGGGGCUCUCCCUAGAGUAGAGCAGAGCAGCAGAAUCCCCUCCCUCGCCCUGCUGGCCACGCUGCUGGGGAUGUAGUCCAGGACAUUGUUGGCCUUCUGGGCUUGGAGCACACAUUGCUGGCUCAUGUUGAGCUCCUCAUCAAUUAGCACCCCCAAGUCCUUCUCUGCAGAGAGAAUUUAUUUGUUAAUAAUAACUAAAAUGCAGAGCACAUCUCUCAGUAGUUUAAUUGUGUUAAUUGCAGUGGGGAACUCCAGCAUCCCUCUGCCAGGAACACAUACCAAAUGUCCUCCCUACCU